UACGGAGGAUGCGAGCGUUAUCCGGAUUUAUUGGGUUUAAAGGGUGCGUAGGCGGCAUUAUAAGUUAGUGGUAAAAUAUUGGGGCUUCACCUCACUACGCCAUUAAUACUGUAGAGCUAGAGAACAGACGAGGUAGGCGGAAUAAGUUAAGUAGCGGUGAAAUGCAUAGAUAUAACUUAGAACUCCGAUCGCGAAGGCAGCUUACCAGACUGUAACUGACGCUGAAGCACGAGAGCGUGGGUAGCAAACAGG
rnacentral:rRNA from 1 species